CAACAGGAGCUACAGCAGCAGUGGUUCCAAGCUCAACUUGCACAACAGAAUGCAAUACUGCAGCAAAUAGCGAGCCAACAGAAUAUACAAGUGCCACCACUGGUACCUCCACCUUUUGCACAGGCCGGUUGGCCAUCAGCUUCACCUCAGCCUUUUCACACCCCACCACCUAACCUUGCGGCACCGGGAGACUCACACGUUGAUCCAACAUCGAAUUGGGCGGAUCAAUUCAUUGGAAGUGGCGGAUCAGUUCAACCAGGUGAUGGAGGCG